rnacentral:rRNA from 1 species
UACCAGCUCUCCGAGUUGUAGGGAUGAUUAUUGGGCUUAAAGCGUCCGUAGCUGGCUUAGCAAGUCUCCUGUUAAAUUCAGCGACCUAAUCGUUGAGCCGCGGGAGAUACUACUAGGCUAGGAGGCGGGAGAGGUCGACGGUACUUUCGGGGUAGGGGUGAAAUCCUAUAAUCCCGGGAGGACCACCAGUGGCGAAGGCUGUCGACUAGAACGCGCUCGACGGUGAGGGACGAAAGCUGGGGGAGCGAACCGGAUUAGAUACCCGGGUAGUCCCAACUGUAAACUAUGCGGGCUAGGUGUUGGGGUGGCUACGGGCCACUUCAGUGCCGCAGGAAAGCCAUUAAGCCCGCCGCCUGGGGAGUACGGCCGCAAGGCUGAAACUUAAAGGAAUUGGCGGGGAGCACCACAGGGCGUGAAGCUUGCGGUUC